rnacentral:tRNA from 1 species
CCUUCGAGCUCAGUUAGUAGAGCGCGCGGGACUGUAGUUGUUCGCAGCAACAUGACAAUCCCUAGGUUACUGGUUCGAAUCCGGUUCGAAGGA